AUUGUUUUGGCAGAAUAGUGCGUUGAAUUUAGAAUUCAAUUAUAUAAUUAUUUAUAAACAAUAAAUGCU
rnacentral:tRNA from 1 species